GUUUGAUCCUGGCUCAGAAUCAACGCUGGCGGCGUGCCUAACACAUGCAAGUCGAACGCGAAAGUCCCGAAAGGGAUAAGUAGAGUGGCAAACGGGUGAGUAACACGUGGGUGACCUGCCUUCGAGCGGGGGAUAACGUCCCGAAAGGGACGCUAAUACCGCAUGACAUCCUGCCUUUGAAGAGGCGGAGAUCAAAGCCGGGGAUCGCAAGACCUGGCACUCGAAGAGGGGCCCGCGCCUGAUUAGCUAGUUGGUGGGGUAAUGGCUCACCAAGGCGACGAUCAGUAGCCGGCCUGAGAGGGCGGACGGCCACACUGGGACUGAGACACGGCCCAGACUCCUACGGGAGGCAGCAGUGGGGAAUUGUUCGCAAUGGGCGCAAGCCUGACGACGCAACGCCGCGUGGAGGGCGAAGACCUUCGGGUCGUAAACUCCUUUCGAUCGAGACGAAUGGCCUUCGGGUGAACAAUCCGGAGGAAUGACGGUACCGAGAGAAGAAGCCCCGGCUAACUCCGUGCCAGCAGCCGCGGUAAUACGGGGGGGGCAAGCGUUGUUCGGAAUUACUGGGCGUAAAGGGCUCGUAGGUGGCCAACUAAGUCAGACGUGAAAUCCCUCAGCUUAACUGGGGAACUGCGUCUGAUACUGGAUGGCUUGAGUUUGGGAGAGGGAUGCGGAAUUCCAGGUGUAGCGGUGAAAUGCGUAGAUAUCUGGAGGAACACCGGUGGCGAAGGCGGCAUCCUGGACCAACACUGACACUGAUGAGCGAAAGCCAGGGGAGCAAACGGGAUUAGAUACCCCGGUAGUCCUGGCCCUAAACGAUGAAUGCUUGGUGUGGCGGGUAUCGAUCCCUG
rnacentral:rRNA from 1 species